GAAGGGCUGCACUCAGUGGUAGAGCAUCCGCUUUGCAUGCAGAAGGCCCAGGUUUGAUCUGUGGUCUCUUUG